rnacentral:misc_RNA from 1 species
GGAAUGCGCAUGGGUGAAGCCUGUCUAGAAAAUGAAUUUUAGAAAAUAGUUCACCCAGUAAAUGGAAAAGGUUUGCGUAAAAAAUGAAUCUUAUGUACAAGAAUAAAAAGAAGAGAGAGGCGAAAUAUCAACAGUAUGGGUUCGGUUCCAGAAAAUAAUACUGAAAUCUAAUUAGAAGCGUAAUCAACAUCAUCCUAAGGACAGAAGAAAACUGGAAUACAGAUGACUGUAUUACUUACAGAUGAUAUGCCCAUCAUGUUAA